rnacentral:rRNA from 1 species
AGAACGAACGCUGGCGGCAGGCCUAAUACAUGCAAGUCGAACGCACUCUUCGGAGUGAGUGGCAGACGGGUGAAUAACGCGUGGGAACCUUCCCAAUGGUACGGAAUAACUCCGGGAAACCGGUGCUAAUACCGUAUAAGCCCCUCGGGGGAAAGAUUUAUCGCCAUUGGAUGGGCCCGCGUCGGAUUAGCUAGUUGGUGAGGUAAUGGCUCACCAAGGCUACGAUCCGUAGCUGGUCUGAGAGGAUGAUCAGCCACACUGGGACUGAGACACGGCCCAGACUCCGUACGGGAGGCAGGCAGGUAGGGAAUCUUAGGGACAAGUGGGACGAAAGCCUGAUCCAGCCAUGCCGCGUGAGUGGAAGACGGCCUUAGGGUGUAAGCUCGUUUGGCGGGUACG